GGAGUUUGGACCGUGUCUCAGUUCCAAUGUGGCCGAUCACCCUCUCAGGUCGGCUACUGAUCGCUGCCUUGGUAGGCCGUUACCCCACCAACUAACUAAUCAGACGCAGGCCCAUCCCUUGCCGAUAAAUCUUUGGCGUAUCAAAGAUGUCUAAGAUACGCAUUAUGAGGUUUUAAUCCCGGUUUCCCGAGGCUAUCCCUCUGCAAGGGGCAGGUUGCCUACGCGUUACUCACCCGUCCGCCGCUUUCCACUCAUGAAAUCUACCGAAGUUUCAGUCAUGAGCUUCUCGCUCGACUUGCAUGUGUUAGGCACGCCGCCAGCGUUCAUC
rnacentral:rRNA from 1 species